UACGAAGGGGGCUAGCGUUGCUCGGAAUUACUGGGCGUAAAGGGCGCGUAGGCGGACAACUUAGUCAGAGGUGAAAGCCCAGGGCUCAACCUUGGAAUUGCCUUUGAUACUGGUUGUCUUGAGUUCGGGAGAGGUGAGUGGAAUGCCGAGUGUAGAGGUGAAAUUCGUAGAUAUUCGGCGGAACACCAGUGGCGAAGGCGACUCACUGGCCCGAUACUGACGCUGAGGCGCGAAAGCUAGGGGAGCGAACAGG
rnacentral:rRNA from 1 species